GUGAGACUCGUGCAUUUUGUGAGGAUCUCUGAAGACUAAUGCCGCAAUGUGUCGGACGGGGGUUCGAUUCCCCCCGGCUCCACCAGAGUGCAAAUGCGUGUCGUUUGCAGCCUGAUGGGGCCGACCGGUUUCGACGGCGCAUGAACGUUGAAGUCGACGAUUCGAGAGGCGACUGCCGUAAGCAGAGCAUCAAGUAAUCGCCAACCAAGGCCGUUACCUGGAGCAAGCCUAGUCUUGCUUCGGAGUGGUCCCACAAGGGCCCCCAGCCCCUGCAACGUUGGAGCAGGCUCGGCAACAGAAAGGCUGGGACCUUAUGACACAUGUUCAAUGAACUAGAUUCAAG
rnacentral:tmRNA from 1 species